rnacentral:lncRNA from 1 species
UCACUGCCACUUGGUAUGAUGGUAUCCCUUGUCCUUGUACUGGAUAAGGGGAAUAACCUUCGUAGGAUUUUCUAUGGUCCAAGAAUUCCAGGUAGAGAUAUAAGAUGCAUCGUAGUGUUGAUACCAGUGAGUUACCCGCACCACGUGACAGGCCGAAAUUAAAUAAUAAUAAAAAAUAUUUAAUAAUAAUAUAAUAAUAAUUUAAAAAAUAAUAAUUUUUAGUUAGAAUUAUAUUAUUUAUCUCUAAAAAAAAUUAUUUUAGUUCUAUUUGUCAUUUUUGAUAGUA